rnacentral:rRNA from 1 species
CGCGUAGGCGGAUCUUUAAGUCGGGGGUGAAAGCCCAGGGCUCAACCCUGGAAUUGCCUUCGAUACUGAAGAUCUCGAGACCGGAAGAGGUAAGUGGAACUGCGAGUGUAGAGGUGAAAUUCGUAGAUAUUCGCAAGAACACCAGUGGCGAAGGCGGCUUACUGGUCCGGUUCUGACGCUGAGGCGCGAAAGCGUGGGGAGCAAACA